UUCUUCUGCCUGUUGUGGGCAAAUAAAAUGAAUGUGAGUAUCAACGCCACCCGCGGUGAUAAUUUUACCUUCACCAGCAACCACUUCUGUGCCGGGGCCGAUAACGAUAUCAACAUUGGGUUGAACAUCGGGGUUGCCUGCUUUACCAAUCCCCGCAAUACGGCCGUUUUUAAUUCCGAUAUCCGCUUUAACAAUGCCCCAGUGGUCUAAAAUAAUGGCAUUAGUGAUUAACACAUCGACACACUGGUCACUGAUGACUUGGCUUUGACCCAUGCCGUCACGAA
rfam:Providencia rettgeri Dmel1 chromosome, whole genome shotgun sequence.